rnacentral:lncRNA from 11 species
UGAUAAUUCCUGAAGGAGGACCUCAUCGCCCUCCUGCAACCAGGUUUCCGUAAUACAUGCACAGGAUCAGAUGGCACGAAACGGGAAGGCCCCUCCUAAAACCAAAAUCAACUCAAUACGAAAAGCAGGCAGGAGCAGGUACUGACUCCAAGCCUGCUUUUUGGAUCGACGUAAGCCCAAAGCUCCAGGCUGUAGGUAACCCGGCACUUUGGGCCUAUGGGUGCAGGCUUUGGGCCUACGUGCCUGGGCCUCGCAGCGCUCCUUACUCAACACUCGACUACAGGUGAAGCCCCCCCCCCCAAGAAUGGGCCAAAAGAAAACAGAUCUUUCAGCACCAAAGACAGAAGAACAAAUAUCUGCCCUCAAGGAAAGCUGGGACACAAAAC